GACGGAGGAGGCAAGCGUUAUCCGGAAUUAUUGGCCGUAAAGGGUACGUAGGCGGCUGGUCAAGUCUGGGGUCAAAGGCCACAGCUCAACUGUGGGAAGGCCCUGGAAACUGACCGGCUAGAGUGAGGUAGGGGUUGCGGGAAUUCCCGGUGUAGCGGUGAAAUGCGUAGAGAUCGGGAAGAACACCUGAGGCGGAAGCGCGCAACUGGGCCUCAACUGACGCUGAGGUAAGAAAGCUAGGGGAGCGAACGGG
rnacentral:rRNA from 1 species